rnacentral:rRNA from 1 species
GAUGAACGCUAGCUACAGGCUUAACACAUGCCAGUCGCGGGGCAGCAUGGGGGUUGCUUGCACUCCCCGAUGGCGACCGGCGCACGGGUGAGUAACGCGUAUCCAACCUGCCCUUCACCACGGGAUAACCCGGCGAAAGUCGGACUAAUACCGUAUGUUGUCCAUUGACGGCAUCCGAUUUGGACGAAAGGUUUGGCGGUGAAGGAUGGGGAUGCGUCCGAUUAGCUGGACGGCGGGGUGACGGCCCACCGUGGCGACGAUCGGUAGGGGUUCUGAGAGGAAGGUCCCCCACACUGGAACUGAGACACGGUCCAGACUCCUACGGGAGGCAGCAGUGAGGAAUAUUGGUCAAUGGGCGUAAGCCUGAACCAGCCAAGUAGCGUGCAGGAGGACGGCCCUAUGGGUUGUAAACUGCUUUUAUGCGGGGAUAAAGUGGCCCACGUGUGGGUUUUUGCAGGUACCGCAUGAAUAAGGACCGGCUAAUUCCGUG